GAUGAACGCUGGCGGCGUGCCUAAUACAUGCAAGUCGAGCGAACAGACGAGGAGCUUGCUCCUCUGACGUUAGCGGCGGACGGGUGAGUAACACGUGGAUAACCUACCUAUAAGACUGGGAUAACUUCGGGAAACCGGAGCUAAUACCGGAUAAUAUAUUGAACCGCAUGGUUCAAUAGUGAAAGACGGUUUUGCUGUCACUUAUAGAUGGAUCCGCGCCGCAUUAGCUAGUUGGUAAGGUAACGGCUUACCAAGGCAACGAUGCGUAGCCGACCUGAGAGGGUGAUCGGCCACACUGGAACUGAGACACGGUCCAGACUCCUAAGGGAGGCAGCAGUAGGGAAUCUUACGCAAUGGGCGAAAGCUUGACGGAGCAACGCCGCGUGAGUGAUGAAGGUCUUCGGAUCGUAAAACUCUGUUAUUAGGGAAGAACAAAUGUGUAAGGAACUAUGCACGGCUUGACGGUACCUAAUCAGAAAGCCACGGCUAACUACGUG
rnacentral:rRNA from 1 species